AUUGAACGCUGGCGGCAGGCCUAACACAUGCAAGUCGAGCGGAUGAGGGUAGCUUGCUACCUGAUUCAGCGGCGGACGGGUGAGUAAUGCCUAGGAAUCUGCCCGAUAGUGGGGGACAACGUUUCGAAAGGAACGCUAAUACCGCAUACGUCCUACGGGAGAAAGUGGGGGAUCUUCGGACCUCACGCUAUCGGAUGAGCCUAGGUCGGAUUAGCUAGUUGGUGAGGUAAUGGCUCACCAAGGCUACGAUCCGUAACUGGUCUGAGAGGAUGAUCAGUCACACUGGAACUGAGACACGGUCCAGACUCCUACGGGAGGCAGCAGUGGGGAAUAUUGGACAAUGGGCGAAAGCCUGAUCCAGCCAUGCCGCGUGUGUGAAGAAGGUCUUCGGAUUGUAAAGCACUUUAAGUUGGGAGGAAGGGCUGUAGGCUAAUAUCCUGCAGUUCUGACGUUACCAACAGAAUAAGCACCGGCUAACUUCGUGCCAGCCGCCGCAGUAAGAC
rnacentral:rRNA from 1 species